CAAAAAAAAAAAACCUAUCUCAUCUGUCCUAAUUUUAAGAGUUAUGUACCAAAAGCCAAGAGGAGAAGCUUAGAAUUGCUAACUUAUCAAAGCGGUUGAUUCUUGGAUAAAGGGAGAGCCUUUUCACUUCUUCUUCUUCUUCGUCUUCUUCUUCGUCUUCUUCUUCUUGUUCUCUCUCUCUCUCUCGUUCUGUUUCAGUGUUGGACCGAGUGGGAAGGAGGAUGGCGGCCCGUAGAGAGAAAGGGCAGUCACUUCGCGGAUCUCGAAUUGCUGUAGCCAUUGUGAUCGGAGUUCUUCUUGGAUGCGUCAUCGCUUUCUUUUUCCCUCAUGGCCUCAUCAACCCCACUCCCUCUUCUCAAAAUCGUCGAUUUGGCAAAUCAAAUUUCCAGAUUGGUUCUUCAUCAUGUGAAUCCUCGGAGCGGAUUAAGAUGCUGAAGUCUGAAAUUGUAUCUCUAUCAGAGAAGAAUUCUGAAUUAAAGAAGCAUGUCAAAGAUUUGACAGAAAAGCUACAGCUGGCUGAACAAGGAAAAGAUCAUGCACAGAAGCAGUUUUUGGUGUUGGGUGAACAGCACAAAGCUGGACCUUUUGGUGCUGUCAAGGCUUUACGAACUAACCCAACUGUUGUUCCUGAUGACUCUGUGAACCCAAGAUUGGCUAAGAUAUUGGAGGAAGUUGCUGUUCGGAAAGAGCUCAUAGUUGCACUUGCCAAUUCAAACGUGAAAGAGAUGUUGGAGGUUUGGUUUUCUAACAUCAAGAGAGUUGGUAUACCUAAUUACCUAGUUAUAGCUUUAGAUGACCAGAUUGUAGAAUUCUGCAAAUCAAAUGAUGUUCCAGUGUACAAAAGGGAUCCUGAUGAGGGUGUUGAUGCUGUUGGGAGAACAGGAGGCAAUCACGCUGUCUCUGGAUUGAAGUUCCGCAUUUUAAGGGAGUUUUUGCAACUGGGUUACAGCGUUCUUCUCUCUGAUGUUGAUAUAGUAUACCUACAAAACCCAUUCAACCAUCUUUAUCGGGAUUCUGACGUAGAGUCCAUGACUGACGGUCACAAUAAUAUGACUGCAUACGGUUAUAAUGAUGUCUUUGAUGAACCUGCCAUGGGUUGGGCUCGUUAUGCUCAUACAAUGAGAAUAUGGGUUUACAACUCUGGUUUCUUUUAUAUACGACCUACAAUUCCUUCAAUUGAGCUUUUGGACCGUGUGGCUGAUCGGAUGGCUCGGCAACAAAAUGCAUGGGAUCAAGCUGUUUUUAAUGAGGAACUGUUUUUCCCUUCACAUCCUGGGUAUGAUGGGCUUCAUGCUGCCAAGAGAACUAUGGAUUUCUACAUGUUUAUGAACAGUAAGGUCCUCUUUAAAACAGUAAGGAAAGAUGCUAAACUGAAGAAGUUAAAGCCUGUGAUUGUUCACGUAAAUUACCACCCAGAUAAACUUCGAAGAAUGAAAGCAGUUGUAGAAUUCUAUGUUAAUGGCAAACAAGACGCAUUGGACCCUUUCCCGGAUGGUUCUGGUUGGUAGGAGUAGCAUCUUUAAGGAUCUCAUGUUGACCCAUGCAUGGGCUCACCUUUCACUAGUUGCAAAGUCACUUCAUACGGUGGAACAUCACAAUUGCCGAUAGAAGACACCAUGCAAGUUUUUAUUUCCCCAAGAAUUUUGUUUAGUAAUAGAAGCUCCUUACAAAAUAAAAUUGGACUUUUCUAUUCAAUUCUGUAUAAUGAACCAUUGUUGGAAGACACUUGGGCGGCAUGUUUCUGCUGUCCUUUUACAGGAGGUUGUUACCAUUAUAAAUUUCUGAAGCGAUCACUCACAACCUACUAGAACCAGUUAUCUUAAUUCUAAAUCAACUGUGAUUGCACCCUUUGCCAAUUGAAUCUGAAUUUGGAGGGGUAGGCCCUGGAAUGAUGCAAACCGGUCAUUUUUCUUUGGAUUAGGCAUUUCUCUUUAACAUCUAAGCACCAAUUAUCCAACAGGCAUUAUGGAUGGUCCCUUUUUUCCCACUUUGACGCCGAAUGUAACCUGGAAACGAACAUUUUAAGGUGACUUUGGAUUGGAACUUGGAGAAACUUUUCUGCUAAACUACCAUUAUUU